rnacentral:rRNA from 1 species
UACGGAGGGUGCAAGCGUUAUCCGGAUUUACUGGGUUUAAAGGGUGCGCAGGCGGAUAUGUAAGUCAGUGGUGAAAUCUCUAGGCUUAACCUGGAAAUUGCCGUUGAUACUAUUUACCUUGAAUUCUGUUGAGGUGGGCGGAAUACAUCAUGUAGCGGUGAAAUGCUUAGAUAUGAUGUAGAACACCAAUUGCGAAGGCAGCUCACUAAACAGACAUUGACGCUGAGGCACGAAAGCGUGGGGAUCAAACAGG